rnacentral:rRNA from 1 species
UACGUAGGGGGCAAGCGUUGUCCGGAUUUAUUGGGCGUAAAGAGCGUGUAGGCGGCCAUGUAGGUCCGUUGUGAAAACUCGAGGCUCAACCUCGAGACGCCGAUGGAAACCAUGUGGCUAGAGUCCGGAAGAGGAGAGUGGAAUUCCUGGUGUAGCGGUGAAAUGCGCAGAUAUCAGGAGGAACACCGAUUGCGAAGGCAGCUCGCUGGGACGUUACUGACGCUGAGACGCGAAAGCGUGGGGAGCAAACAGG